rnacentral:rRNA from 1 species
GAUGAACGCUGGCGGCGUGCCUAAUACAUGCAAGUCGAGCGAAUGGAUUAAGAGCUUGCUCUUAUGAAGUUAGCGGCGGACGGGUGAGUAACACGUGGGUAACCUGCCCAUAAGACUGGGAUAACUCCGGGAAACCGGGGCUAAUACCGGAUAACAUUUUGAACCGAAUGGUUCGAAAUUGAAAGGCGGCUUCGGCUGUCACUUAUGGAUGGACCCGGGUCGCAUUAGCUAGUUGGUGAGGUAACGGCUCACCAAGGCAACGAUGCGUAGCCGACCUGAGAGGGUGAUCGGCCACACUGGGACGGAGACACGGCCCAGAAUCCUACGGGAGGCAGAAGUAGGGAAUCUUCCGCAAUGGACGAAAGUCUGACGGAGCAACGCCGCGUGAGUGAUGAAGGCUUUCGGGUCGUAAAACUCUGUUGUUAGGGAAGAACAAGUGCUAGUUGAAUAAGCUGGCACCUUGACGGUACCUAACCAGAAAGCCACGGCUAACUACGUGCCAGCAGCCGCCGUAA